rnacentral:rRNA from 1 species
UACGAAGGGGGCUAGCGUUGCUCGGAAUCACUGGGCGUAAAGCGCAUGUAGGCGGACUCUUAAGUCGGUGGUGAAAUCCUGGAGCUCAACUCCAGAACUGCCUUCGAUACUGAGAGUCUCGAGUCCGGGAGAGGUGAGUGGAACUGCGAGUGUAGAGGUGAAAUUCGUAGAUAUUCGCAAGAACACCAGUGGCGAAGGCGGCUCACUGGCCCGGUACUGACGCUGAGGUGCGAAAGCGUGGGAGCAAACAGG